UACGUAGGGUGCGAGCGUUGUCCGGAAUUAUUGGGCGUAAAGAGCUCGUAGGCGGUCUGUCGCGUCGAUCGUGAAAACUUGGGGCUUAACCCUGAGCUUGCGGUCGAUACGGGCAUGACUGGAGUUCGGCAGGGGAGACUGGAAUUCCUGGUGUAGCGGUGAAAUGCGCAGAUAUCAGGAGGAACACCGGUGGCGAAGGCGGCAUCCUGGACCGGCAUUGACGCUGAGGAGCGAAAGCCAGGGGAGCAAACGGG
rnacentral:rRNA from 1 species